rnacentral:rRNA from 1 species
UGCGUAGGCGGAUAAGUAAGUCAGUGGUGAAAUCUUCCGGCUCAACCGGGAAACUGCCAUUGAUACUGUUUAUCUUGAGUUCGGCAGAGGUAGGCGGAAUGUGUAAUGUAGCGGUGAAAUGCUUAGAUAUUACACAGAACACCGAUUGCGUAGGCAGCUUACUAUACCGACACUGACGCUGAGGCACGAAAGCGUGGGGAGCGAACA